rnacentral:rRNA from 1 species
UACGUAGGGUGCAAGCGUUGUCCGGAAUUAUUGGGCGUAAAGCGCGCGCAGGCGGCCAUCUAAGCCCGGCGUGAAAGCCCCCGGCUCAACCGGGGAGGGUCGUCGGGGACUGGGUGGCUUGAGGACGGCAGGGGCUGGUGGAAUCCCCGGUGUAGUGGUGAAAUGCGUAGAUAUCGGGAGGAACACCAGUGGCGAAGGCGACUACCUGGCCGUGUUCUUGACGCUGAGGCGCGAAAGCUAGGGGAGCAAACGGG